rnacentral:lncRNA from 1 species
ACGCGAGCCUCGCCUUGGCGUGGUCCAGCUGGUCGGCGCCCGGCGGGUGCUUCCCGGUGAGGUACUUGUACAUCCACGAGAACACGGAGAGCGCGGCCACGCCGAGCCCGCCCGAGGUGACGAACCCGGCCGCCAUGAGCGCCAGCGCGAUGGCCGCCGGCACCAGCACGGGGCUGAAGAUGACCAGCACCGGGGUGGCCACCGUGAGCGCGAUGACGGUGCCGGCCAGGAUCAGCCCGGACAGCACCAGCAUCGAGCCCCCGGCCGUCGCCGCGGUCACCGUCUUCAGAGCCGUCAUCAUGAAGGGCUGCUUCUCCUGCUGCUCCUGGCCACCACGGUCACCGUAGCCGCCGCCGCCGAUCACUCCUCUGUGCUGAUCAGCCAUGGGGAUCGAGCACACCUGCAGCUGCAAAAUUAAGCCAGCAAUGCAGAGAAAGAGCUAAGUAGCUAACCCACGUGCAGCACUGUCUACGAGCUAGUGAGAAGUGGACUGACGACGGUGAGGAGGGAGAAGAGGGUGGGGUUUAUAGGGGGAGGCGCCGUGCAUGGGGCGGCGUGGAGGCGGGUGCUGGAGCCGCCGCGUGGGGCGCAUGCGGGACUCGUGUCGGACGCCGAGCGACACCUGUGGUUUGCUGUGGUUGCCGCCGCGCGCGGCCUCGGCCGCUUCCCACGAGGCGAUACGUACGAGGUUACGGGCGCUGCUGCAUUCGGCCGCCGCUGCCUGUAUUGGGCCCGAUCUCUCGUGGGCCGUAUCACCAUGCGUGCGCGUGUAACUGAAGGAACAAGUUCAUCAGUCAUCCCUCAACUUUACGACAAGUUUGUAUGACAUCCCGAAACCCCAAAACCAGAAAUCUUUAUCCCUAAACUAUAUAAAACCGUGCAAUUUCGAUUCCACGGCAGUAUAGAUCUCUGGUUUCGGGUUUCGCUGACAUGUUAUUCUAGUCAGCAAAAUUAAAAAAAUAAAUUAUGGAACCCACAUAUAAGUCUCUUCUUUCUUUUCUCCUCUCUUCUCUUUUCUUCUUCUCUUCUCUUCUCUUCAGCGAUAGCAAAGAGGGGAUAGGCCGGCAGCGGCAGAGAGGGGAGAGGCCGCCGUCGAGCCCGGCCGAACUCCGCCACCUCGAGCGCCUCGCGACGGGAGGAGGUAUAAGCAACAGCGGUGGAGACGAACAGCUGGAAGCUCGCGAACGGAUGCAUUGCCCUGAGACGGUCGUACUCGUCGCGCAUGUGGGCGAGCUCCUCAUCGAAGGAGACCGACACCAACAGGUCCUCGUCGCGCGAGGCUGUACCUGACUGCAGUGAUGGUGGCAGCAGAGGCACCGACAUUCUCUGCUAGCCGUACCCUUACUUCACGGAAGGGGACCUCGCACGGCACGACAAGGAAGGCGAGGGCGUCGGAAGGCACCUCGUUGUGGAUGGUCCAAGUCGUCACCCGGAGACGGCGGCGGCGGCUGCGCCCUUCCGCGGUGAACCCACAUGCGGCAAGGCUAGCUAUGGUGCCGUCCCGCGCCUCUCCCCUCCCUCAUUUCCCGCCGGCAGCCUCCCCCCCCCCCCCCACCCCCACCCCUCUUCUCCUCCUCCUCGGUCGCGAGCGGCAACGGGUGCGGAGCCUCUUGAGGCGGUGGAGAGCUCAGCCAUGCUCGCCCACUUGCCUCUCCCCUCUCUGCCACCUCCGGCCUAUCUCCUCUAUGCCAUCGCUGAAGAAAAUAGUAGAGAAGAAGAAAAGAGAAUAGCGGAGAGAAGAAUAGAGAAGAAAGAAGAGACUUACAUGUGGGUCUCAUAUUUUUUUAUUUUUUAUUUUGCUUACUAUGAUACCACAUCAGCGAAACCAGAGGUCUAUACUGCCAUGAGGUCGAAAUUGCACGGUUUUGUAUUAUUUAAGGGUGAAGAUUUCUGGUUUGAGGUUUAGGGAUGUUAUACCAAGUCGACAUAAAGUUGAGGGACGGCUGGUGAACUUAAUCCGUAACUGAAUGGCCGAACUGGUCGCAGAUGGGCUGGACGUGUAUGAGCCUACUACGGCCCAUAUAAACGCGAAAUUGCAAGUACGACCCUUCGAGGUCUCGCUCUCUCAUAUUCCCUCGUGGAAAAAAAGGAAAAAGGUCCUCACUAUCUCGUCUCAUAUGCUUGUGCAGUCGUGCUGCUCAUCUCAUCGUUGAAAAGUUUGCACAAGCUGAUGCCGAUGCUGGCGUGGCUGGGAUUCAAGGGCAAGGCAUCUACUUGUAGUCGAAGACUAGGACGAUUCGUUUGACGGUCAGAAGCCGUCAUGUUUCGGAACAGGGAAGCUUUAUUUUGCUAAUGGUGUGUUUAGUUCACGUUAAAAUUAAAAGUUCGGUUGAAAUUGAAACGAUGUGACGGAAAAAUUGAAAGUUUAUAUAUAGAAAAAUUUUAAUGUGAUAAAAAAGUUAAAAGUUUGAAAAAAAAAGUUUGGAACUAAACUCAGCCUAAGUUGCUCCCUUAGACGGAAUCACGGAAUCAUCGUGGAAGCAUCGGCUUAGCUAGGAGGCCCCCGCGGGGUAUCGCCAAUUAAGUCAAGGUUGCUGUCACCUGCACGCUUUAAUCGCAUUGACGAUCUAGAAGACUUUGCUAGCUAACAAUGCACAGCCCUCACGCAUGUCAUAUUUUGCCUAUCUAGAAGGUCACCCCCACCACCCCUCUCGCCGUCUCGCGCCGCUAACUCGUCUGCACGGUCCCGGUCGUCGUCUCGCCGAUCCGUGCAUCAUCCAUCGUCGUACAGCGACUUUCUUCCUCCGGGGAUAGUAUCCUCCGCCGUUCCAACUGCAAAGGUAGAGAACUACAGUAAUCCAUGCCAUUAGUUAUUUAGAGCCGGUACAAUAGCAGACUAUUAGUCAGCUAUAAAUAUAUCUUAAUGAGAUAAAAUAUGAGAGAGAAAAGCAGCGGGCUACAAAUCUAUAGUCAGCUGUAGCGUGGACUCCAAAACGCAAUGUGUGUAUGACAGGUAGGACCAUGCAUUAAUAGUAUAAAUAGUAUAGUAAACAAUUAUUAUAUGAAUUAUCUACUAGAUUGGCUAUAGAUGAUUGGAGCUAGUAGUGGGCUAUACUAUUAAACUUGCUCUUAGGCUGUGUUCUUCCCCCCAUUUUCCCAACCCACCUAUCUCGUUUUCCGUACGCACGCUUUUCAAAUUGCUAAACAGUGUAAUUUAUAAAAAACUUUCAAUAUGAAAGUUGUUUAAAAAAUCAUAUUAAUCCAAUUUUCAAAAAAAAAAUUAAUAGUUAAUUAAUCAUGCAAUAAAACGAAUUUCGUUUUGCGUGCCGGGUAAGAGGGGUUCCCAACCCUCUCCUCCAAACACAGCCUUAGGGCACCCGUAAUGAUUAUCUAUAGGCUCUCUAUGAGAGAUUCAUGUCAUCAUAUUUUUCUACUUGGAAGAGAUUAAAUGAAGAGAGAGAGCAAAGCUAUCUACUAACCUGGAGAUAGUCUAUAUAGAAAAACGAGGCAAUGGAUUAGAGAGCUAUAGAUACCCAUGUAGACAUACUAUUGAGGUGGUUUACUAUUAAUUUAGUCUAUUACUGAGAUGUACAUGUUUUAUAGAGAGCACCUUACUUUAUCAUCAUUGUGGGUGCUCUUAUAGUCAUUGGAUUAAAUUUGAAUGCACGAGACUAAUUGCUACAGUAAUCCCAAAAAAUAAUUAGAUGUUACGUUUCACCGUUUCUACAGUAAUUUUACUUUAGCUAUGGUAAAGGAUUGUAGCGCUGCUCACUUAACUGUUUGCCUCUAUCAUUUACUCCCUAACAGAGUGUGAACCCUUUCCUCCGUGUGUCGAUAGCAUUUCUAGUAUGACCGUGUUUAGUUUCCGCCUAUUCAUAACUUUCCAUCACAUCAAAAACUUUUCUACACAAACUUUCAACUUUUUUUCUAAACUUCCAACUUUCUUCAAACUUCCAACUUUUUUCAGUAACUAAACACACCCUAUAUCUUAGAUAUAAAGUUGGAGCUUUUGUGCCACAUUACAACAAGCUCAUUAUCGAUGUCUGCUUUAGUUGAUAAAGUUGGAACUUGGGUUCCGUCGUUGUUUUAGUUGAUAAUCCAUCUAUAAAUUGACUUAUAGAUGGAAUUGACUUAUAGAUGGUCACACUCGGCACGGUUUAUAGAACUUAUUUGACAUAUAAUUUCUCAUAUACUAUAAAAUUUAUAGCAACAAAAUUAUAACUGUAUAUUGAAAUAUCAAUCAAAUGCUAUUAUUUUCAGCAAAUAAAUUUCAAUUAUAUUAUAGUAACCAUUAAUUAAAUAUUUUUAAAGUUGAAUUUAGAAAUGUGUGUGCACCUUGCAUUAAAGUUGAGUGCUGUUAUGCGUGCUAUGCGGUGGUUUCUACCACGAUUGAGGUGUGUGACGAGUCUCUUCUCGCUGAAGGGUUAUGCUUUUCCUUUUUUUUAACCCGUCUAGUUUUUUUAUUCAUUCUUAAUUAAAAUAUACUACUCCCUCCGUUCCUUAAUAUAGGGCGUAACUUCUUUUCAACUGGAUUCCAUAAUACAGGGCGGCAACUCCUUGGUGCAUGCAGGAAUUGAUGAGUACUCCUCGGCUCCUGUACUGGUGCAUGCAGAUGCAUGCAGAGAAUUAACUGAUGACUCAGUUUGGCUUUUAAAAAGCUCAGCUCCUGGCCCCUCUCUCUCUCGCUCUCACUGCUUCCUCUCUCUCUCUCUCACUGCACACACCGCCCCUCUGUGACACUGCUCACACUUCAUAUGCCGACGAUGGCGACGACAGAGGAGAAGAUUGCAUCUGCACGACUCAUGCGGCAGCAGGCGCAGGUGGAGUUCGCCCGCGCGUGAUCACUUCGUCUCCACGCUGUGCUCAUGCGACGCCGUGCUCAAGUGGAGCUCAGCCGUGUCCGAGCGAUCCGCGACGCCGCCGUCCGCAUGUAGCAGGAGGCGCAGAUGGAUAUCGCUCAUGCUCGUACGCUCCGUGUGCAUGCCCUUCGCAUGCGGCUGCGAGCGCAAGCAGAGCUCGUUCGCUGUUGCAACACCGACGACAGCAAGGGUGACAACGGAGAGAAGGCAGGGGACGCCGGAAUCCGAGAGGGCAGCGUGGUCGACUCACUGGCUGGCGUCGAUCGUUUCACUGACUCCGACAACAUUGGGUAUGUUGUUGACUCACUGGCCAACAACACAUUUGUUGCAGAUUCACUAGAGGUGACUGACGCCGAGGAAAAAAACAACUGAUUCACUAGAGGUAUAAUCGGUGCCAAUGUUGCUGCUUGUUGUCAUUGCUAGAUGGUUUAGCUAAUGUGUAUGCACUUGAUUGUUCUAUUCGAUUUAAUGCAAUGUCUUUUUCGUGAAGAUCAGAGAAAAACAAACAUGAAUACUCCUCUUUUUCUUGCUAAUUGUUGAACGAUGCAAAAUUACAAGAGAAAUAUCCUAACUAUGUAUUGAUGAAAUCUACCGCAUCUAGAUAAAUUUGCUUAUCACAUUGCAACCUUAUUAGAAGUUGACCAUUUCUCUCUAAUGAUCUCUUCUUCAUAUGCGGGAUUGCAUAGUGCUGCCCUCCUUUUACAAGCAUAAUCUCUCUCAUGCACCCUUGUAGAGUAAGAAACACAUGAUUCGAUCUAUCCGCCGGAUAUUCUUCAUAUGCUUUGAUCACAUUUGUCUCAAUUUCUUCGAUGUUUGAUGGAGAUGACUUCUGAAACAAUGACUGCAAUGCUGCAAAAAAACCUAAAUCCAAAACAUUAAGAUCUGGAGAGUUUGGUGGUUGACAUGUAAGUCGUAUAUCCCACCCAUCUUCUUGUGCAACACUUAAAAAUGCGGGAUCAUCAACUGUAAUAUGGGUCUUCGCAUUGUCUUGUUGGAUGAAUAUUGGAAGUCCUCGUUCCUCAUUAGGCCAUUUAUGUUUGAUGGCUGGCAGAACCUUUUCAAUGAGAUAGUUCCGGAUAAUGUCCCUCAUGACAGUUGUCAUGGCCUUGAGCUCCAUGGUUCCUGUAUUAAAUCAUGCAAUUAAAAAAAUUAGUAGAGUUGUCAUAUGUGGAGUAACUAAGCAUAAUUAAACAACUUACCCCUCUCCCUACUGCGACUACUCCUCUUGGCUGCCUCCCAGUAAGUGAAGGGAAAAAUCCCAAUUUUUCCAUCAAAUGUACAUUCACCAUACUCAUCAAACCUUGGACGGGCUUUCGCUGCUAGAAACAUAACCUUAUCAAUGAAAUUUUUGCUCUUCACAUUUCUUCGAGGGUUCGGUUCAUCAAGUGACAAGUAAUAAUUUUCGUCCGGCUUUGUCCUAUAAAACCAUUUCUCAUCUAUAUACACAAUGUUGUACAAAGAUUUGAAAGUUGGCUUGUCCGGUAUGCUUUGGCUAUCAAGCAUUUGUAUGCAAAAUUGCACACGGGCCUUCAUGUUAUCUUCGGUCAAGGUGAACUUUAUGGCAUUUGUAUGGCGCCUAAACCUUCCUUCCUUCAAACGCCUAAACAAUGUGGUUUUUAACAUAUGCAAAGCGUUAGCUAGGUCACGGAGUGUUCGGCGUUGCCUAAGCGGUACAUCUUUGAUGGCAUCAGGGUUAAAAGAAAGUUUCUUGCGGCCACAGUUCUUCUUCUUCUUCGAUUCGAAAGCUUCAAUUCCACCUCCAAUUUGUCCAUGUCGCCAUACACGCUAAACAACUCUCCAUGGAACCCCCAUAUCAGUAGCAACUGACUUUGUCACUCCCUCCUUCAUCAUACCAGGAUCCGAUCUCUCCAAACACAAUGCAUAUAUGGCUCGUUUCAUAUCAGGAGGGUAGUGUCUCCUCCUCUUGAUAUUGAUACCUACACAUGCAUGGUGGAUGAUGGCUGAGAACGUGCAGGCUAUACUAUGGUUGGCAUGCAUCGGCUAGUUUGCUUAAGCAUGGCAUUGUGCAUGUGUAUAUGCAAAGGCCUUCAACUCGUGCAGCAAAAAAGACACAGCAACAAAAAGAAAAUGAACGAGUAUUACCUGCAUCGACUGCUCCAUCGGUGGUUUGAUCGCCGCCGCCGCCGCUGUCGUCGUCGCCGCCGCCGCUGCCGCCGCCAUCGUCGUCGCUGCCGUUGCAGCCACCGUCGUUGCCACUGCUGCGGCCAUUGACAUCUUCACCAUCUGUGCGUUGAAACAAAAUUAUAAAGUCACACAUGCACAAGAAAAAAAAGAAGACAAAGCAAGAGAAGAAGCUCCUAUGAACACCUUCAUUGUCAUAAUCCCAAACAAAGUCAUAGUUCAAAUCAGAUAUAUCUCCAUUGAAAUCCUCAACUUCGUCCCAAUUGAUGAUGGGUGGAUUUAGAUCAAAACCGGCCAUUACAUACGUUGAACCAUGGGAGGGAAGAAGAGAGAUGGAAGAAAUGUGUGGUGCAUUGCCCAUAUUUAUAGGAGAAAAUUUUGCUGGCAAAUAGUGGCGCCAAGUGAAAAUUUUCGAUUCAUUUUUUAUCGCUGAUGGCGCCAUCCAAAUUUUCGAUCAAGCAUGCAUGCAUGGGGCUUUCCAAAUUUUUGAAUCAAAACAAUCCAUACAUGGCGUUAUGCCAGGCGAGCAAAGCGUGCUAGCAAAAAUGCAUCUACAUGCAUGCUGGCUAUUCGCGCGGAAAGUGCAGGUCGAGCGCACACUGCAUGGUGGUUAAUGCUAGCGUAUCUACCGCGCAACUACCUAAACGUCGCUCUUCGAACGGAGAGAAUUAAUCAGCGUAUCUGAUAUUUAAACGGUUUUAUUGGUCUUUGUAACUACAACAGCCACGCUCUAUAUUAAGGAACGGAGGGAGUAAUUGACAAGUUAGGCUUUUUAGGGGAAAAAAAGAGCUAGAGCUUCUGCUAUGUAUUCGGUUGCCAGCCUUCUCCCUUUUCGCAUCGAGCCAUUGACUGGGGCUAAUUGAUCCAAUCAGGUUACGCUUAGAUUCAGCUUUACUUUCACACGAUAAGCCCCCAAAUUGAGCACGCUUCUGUCCAUUGAUCGUCUUUUCUACCGGACGUAUUGGCCAGCUGCGUCGCUGUACAGCACGCACAAACUCUAUCAUUUAUCUAGUAAUGAAAUAUUCAUCGCUGGUGGUGUACUUUGCCGCAUGACCUGGACUCAAUCAAAGUAGCGUGCUGAUCGGUCGGCAAUUUAAGCUGGAAAGAAAAGUGUGCCUUUUUCUCAUGGCUCAUGGGCUCUCUUUCCACCCAGAAACCACAUAAAACAAGUGUACUCAUGGAGAGUGAUCUCAUACUGAGCAUACAUGGAUGCACACUCCGAUGGCCCAUGCCCAGCUGUCAAGCAGAGCAGCUGAACUUAACACACCAGUCUCCGCAAGCAGGGUGGCCCUCCAGUACCCAAUGUAUACAUGUUACUGUUACUGAUAGAAUGGCUCUUUACGUCUUGGAUAAGCACGAGUUAAGAUUUUUAUUGUUGUUACCGGCUAAAGAUUGGUGCCGACUGCAAGUUGCAACAUUGAUCGCUUGUUGUGUGUGUGUGUAUGCUUCUUUUUUAGUAUUUUUCUUGCAAUUUCGUCUCCAGCAUAAUGGCAAAGCAGAUGGCGACCUCUUCCCGCCUCGCCCUGCCCACUUGCCGCACCGAGCUAUCAGCGCUUAACCCCAAAGCGACUUUCUUUCCCCCACGAUUAACGGGAGAAUGAUUGGUUAGUUAUGUAUUUAAUCUUGCUGUUUCACGUGGCAGCCCCCCUUGUUUGCUUGAUGCCUCGGAUUGGAAGUUUUGGUUUCGAGCACCAUCUCGAUUUGGUCUCCUAUUAUAACGACUGUUUGUUUGACUUCUUUCGUUCGUUUAGCGGCCAAAGUUUCUCUCCUCCAAACCUAAUGUGCCGUUUGUUUCUGGGUUUAAAUGUUUGCGACCUUGUGAUUACUGAUUAGACCUAUCAUUUGGACUCCUAAGAUCAAAAGAACAAAGGGGAUGAUUGAUUGUUCUUCAUCUCUGCUGCUUCUCCACACCACAAGACAUCGUUUGUACAGUUUUUUUUUUUCACUGAAACCCUCACAAACUCACUCGGGUGAUCCACUAGUGACAAUGACGCGAAUUAUGACCCUUAGGAUUUGCACACUUGACGACACCGUGCAUUCCCUGACAAGAACACGCUAGUAGACACAGAGUAUCCUCCUCACCCCCCCACUUGGGCGAGUUGCGCCGGGACAACAAUACCACCACCACCACCACGCUACUAUCUGCUAGAGCUCGCCCACACACGAUUGCACCACCCAAUUUCACCAGUUGCACCCGCGAGCUUAUCGCGUUUGCAAUUUUGCAUCCGGUGGAGCUUUCGCGGGGAUGCUGCUCGCUUGCGCCGUCGCGCUCACGGGGUUCCAUCGCCUGAUCCCUUUGCCGUCUCGCGCCGUGCAAAGCAAUGGCUGGCUCGUGCUCGCUGGUCAAUCCGUUGGGGCGUCAAGGUGAUAUGACGUCGACCAUUGCUGGCUUGGUUUGCUUGCUUCACUGUGCGUCGCGCGCUUUAGAUGACGAGCUGCUCCACGCGCGGGGUGAUCGCCACCUGCUCGACCGGUGCGGCGGCGGGGUACCAUGCCUGCACCGGCCAGUUCAGCUGGGAAGGCGGGGGCACCAGGGGCAUGGACAUGGACGCGGCCGCGGCCUCGCCUCUCUUUCUCCGUUUCGGGGAGCCGGAGGAGGAGGUUGAGGAGGAGGUGGUGGUGGUGGUGCAGGAGGAUGAGGAGGAGAAGGACGACUCCGAGGUCGCCGGCUCCGGCGACGGCCGCUUGUCGCCGGCUGCCGCUGCCGCUGCGGCGGCGGCGGCGGCUGCGAUCUCCGAGCCGAUGCGGAGCGGGAAGUUGAGGAGCGCGCGGGAGCCACGCAUGCGGUAGGCGGCGCGGUCGUACGCCAGGGCGGCGUCCUCGGCGGUGUCGAACGUGCCGAGCCACACGCGCGCGCCGUUCUUGGCGGGGUCCCGGAUCUCCGCCGCGAACUUGCCCCACGGCCGCUGCCUCACCCCCCUGUAGUGCUUCCCCCUCGCCACCGCAGCCGCGGCCUCCUCCUCCUUCCCGUGCUCCGCCGUCGCCGCCGCCGCCGCGGCCGCCGCUUCUGCCGCCCCCGACGCCGCGUCGCUCGGCGUCACCGGCUCCGACACGUCCGCGAAGCCGAAGCAGCAAGAGGACCCGUCGUACGACGACGAGUCCGGCGAGAGCAGGGGCUCCGGCUUCACCUCCGCGAACACGCCGUCGGGCAGCCACCCGCACGAGAACGCGUCCCGCAUCGCGCCGAACACCACCAUGUCGUCGGCGUCGUCGUCGCGGAACGGCAGCGAGUCGCUCCACAUGUCGGCCACCAGGCUCCCGAAGCUCGCCUCCGCCGCCUCGCCACCGCCGCCGCCGCGCGGCUCCUCCAGCAGGUGCUGCCGGAUGGUGUCGAGCACCGACGCCUCCGGGUGGUUCCGCAACAUGCUUCGCGCCGUCAUCGCCGUCUUCCUUGCUGACCCGACCUCGCCUCUGUCUCAAACUUGGUUACACACUUCAGUGUGUGGUGUGUUCGAGUUGAAUGGUAAGCCGAGGCGGAGACGGGGCGAGCUUUAUAUAGGUGGACGGGCUCGCUUCGACGCUUCGUUGAACUUUCCUCCCGCGCGCGCACUCACCCACGUGGUGGAAAUGGCAUUUUUAGUUACGAAGAGUAAAUAAAAAAUAAACGGAGAAAGAGUGAGCCAGGCCAGAUAGGUGGGUCGAGUAGCUGAUGCUUGUUUAGUUGGGCGUUUUGGGGAGGAGGUUGAGAUAACCAUUUCUUUUGUUGGGGUCGCCCCGUGCGGUGGCGUCAGCGAUGAGGUCGUUAGCUCGGCUCUCUCGGCCUCUCGAGGGGAGCAGUGUGUGGCCCGGCACGCCUCGUGGUCGCUCGCUCGAGCCGGUUUGUGGGCGCUGCAGGCUGAAGCCUGCAAGGCAGGAUCGUGUAGGCGGCAGCAGAGCAGCUAGCUAGCGCUGUUGGUGCGAUUGAUUAUUAUCUGCUCUCUAGAUGGUCCAGUCCAACUUGUGCUUACUUUGGGGAUAUCCUCGGAACAUUCAGGUCAUCAGGUGAAUGACUGCGUUUUUCCGUCUACCAUAAGGCUGCAUACUUAUCUCUGUCUUGUUGAUGGCUAAAGGCCUAAAGCGCUAUCACUAUUGCAGAAUGCAAGUUGCUUAAACUAUCACACCAGCCAUUGAAUAAUCCCCUUGCGUUUCUGUAAACGACAGGCUAGUUGUAACUUGUAACUUGUACUACUGGUAUGAGUGUAUUCGUACUAGCAGAAUUAACUACAGUAACUGGAUGCCGAAUUUUCACUGGCAAAAAAAAAAAAACAAUGGACACGUACGAGACGCAUGUGGCCAGCGGCCAUCGAAUUUUGCUAUCGGAGGAAGAAAUAGCGUAGAAGUCAUGCUGGUGCAUCGCCCCUGGACCCGUCUCUGCCACUACUUGCGCUCGCGCACAAGAGGAUAAAGACGCCAUUUGUUGGGCCCGAGCUUACGAGAAAGCAGCGUGCGAUUUUAAAGCAGAAACGGACAACCGGCGACCUGCAGCAGUGCAGCCCCGCAUGCUGUAGUUAGCGUUUCCAUGGCAAAAUUUUCUUUGCGAAAUUAAUUAGGCGUUUUCUAUCAAUCUAAUUCUAUCCUAUGAGGAGAAUAGAAUGUGCUCGAUUGAGUGACAAACACAUCGAUAUGUUGCGGGGCAAUAAUGCGGCUGUCUCGUACUGCAAUAUGGCAUGCUGGACAUGCGAAAUAAUGUUAAGGUCGUAGGUGACGUUGUUGUCACAUUUUCAACCCGAAAAGAAAACGAAGAUGCCAAAUCGGCAUUUGUUUGGAUCGUGGUGGUCUAAAAACAUGUUUAUCAGAGAAGUAGAGCAUGGUUUUGUACAGGGAAAUGGGAGAGGAUAUUAUUGGUUCUAAAAAAAAUCACAAUUGGUAUAGUUAAAAAUAGUCCAACAGCUACAGUAAAAUGUUUUUUUUCAGAUCGUGUUAGAGUUAUCCUCUCUGGUACGAUAAAAGAUUCAAUCUCCUAGUCCCUAAUAUAACAACUUACCACAUUUAAAAUUUAUUUUAAAAUAUAACACUUUCCAUAUAAUCUCUCGUCUCAACUAAUCACAACUAUUCUGUAUUUAAUUUUUUCGUUCACUUAAUUUCUCAUAUCACAUCAUUUCUAAUUUCAGUUCAUAUACUAGUUUUGUCUCCGAAAAUCUUAAAGCACUGAAAUAGUGUAGCUCAGAACUUUACACUAGUUAUCUACCGACAGUCGAGAUGAACGGUUGGAAAUCCACACAUGGUGUUGCUUAGGUUCAGUGUGCCGUGGGCAGAUAAAGAUUAUCAACUCGCCAUUUCUUGACUUUUGCAGCAGCGUCACGCCAGUGAAGACCUUGCUUAUCUGCACGGGCUUGCCAUGGCCUAAUAAUGAUCACGUGAUUUUCUUCCGAAACCUGACUCCGGGGGAUGCACGAGCUUUGAAAAAUACAGAGAAAACUGUUUCGUUAGAUCCGAUGGCGACUGGCCUUUUGUCUCAGUGAGAGGUGUUCGUCGUUUAGGAAAUGGUUCGUCCGAAAAAUAUAGUGACGAGUUUGAGUUUGAGAAUUGAGUUUCUACUUGUUUAUGAACCGGGACAUGUGCAGAUUAAUUAGCAGAUAGAAUAAUGAUUCGGUGAAGCAGCCCAGGUGCUGCAAAUCAGCACAAGACACUUGCUGGCUUGCCGCUGGGCAUGCUUUAUCGAGGCUGAUCACAACAUGAAUUGUUAAUUAACCUCAGAGUUCAAGUCGCAGCGCUCCACUGACCGCAAGUUAGUUAGCUGCAGUCACGUCAGGGACGAUGACUUGUCGAUGAAACCACGUACUAGGACCUCUGUGACCUGCCAACUCUGGAGCUAACUCGAACAAUGAAUGAUCACGAUGAAGACGAUAUAAUGUCCUGUUGUUGGAAUUUCACCUGACUAACCCUGUAACCGGAUACUGUAACAAACAAGCAAGUUGUUGCCACCAUGUGCUCGAUUUAUUCGAUUGCCUAUAUGUAUGUACCUACGAUCGAUUUGCCAUGUGUUGCUAGACGGUUGCUAUCAUAAUCGACCAUAUCAUCGUUAUCAACACAAAAGGCCAUAAUGAAAGCUUAGCUGUACGCCUGCAUCCGUAAUUCCACGGCCAAGAACCCAUGGGCGCGCAGUCAGGCGCCUUUGUUUACAGCACCACGUCGAUCCUGCUAAGCCACAGGUUACACAGCAAACAAAUGACAUGUUAAUUAGCCACUACUAGUAAAUUAAAGUAGCGUAGUAGUAGGUCGUUAGGAGUAAGUACUUCUCUCUUAAAGGUAAAGUUAGGAAUAAGCAGCGAGUGAGUGGAGUGUGGACUAGUCAAAGGUCAAGGCGGACUCUGACCGUGGACCAGGAAAUUCGACGGAGAAGCGGCAGCAGCCAGCAGCCAGCAGCCGAGGUCGUGAGCAUCAUUUUUUUUCUCUUUUGCUCGAGGCCGAAACGAGACGACGCUAUCCGCUGAUCCGUUCGGGAUGGGCGCCGGUCGCGGUCUCGUGCGACGCCUCCGUUGCGUUGCCUCGCGUGCGGGACACUGCAGCUCGGUCCACCACGUCUGCUGCCGCUGUUGGCCGCCGCUGCUUCCCGGCUCCUUCCUUGCAAGGCGUCUACGACCUCGAGAGAUCCGUCGCCUUGUCUCUGCACGGUCCGAUGUAAAAAAAAAAAAGACGGACGCUCUCCGUGAUCGGUAUUGGUGGUGCGCAUCGCGCAUGAAUGAAACACGACAGAUCGCUAAAGAACAGGGGAGGAUUGGUGGUGAUGUGCAGAACAUAGGAGGGGCGAGCCCCUCAUUACUGCGGAUUCUGGGUGAUCGUCAACUUUUGCGGCGGCAGCAGCUGAAACGUUAACAGCACUACUGUACUCUGUAGUCUGUACAGGAGAAGACGACCCUGGGUCUUCGGCUAUUUCAACGUGACGAAGGCUUCUUCUGCACCGUUUCUAGAAGCAGGCCUGGUUCUGUUUUCCUUACCACGAUCGAAAGAGCCACACAUGUACAGUUACCACUACUAGUAGUAUAAGAGCAGGUAAAAUAACAGCUAUAAGCCAGCUGCAAACAUAUUUUAAGUAUAUAAAUGAGGAGAGAAGAGCAGCGAACUACAGAUUUAUAGCCAGCUGUAGCACAGACUAUAAGACACAGUGUGUGUAUGAUAGGUGGGACCAGAUAUUAAUAGUUUGGUAUGUAACUACUGUAUGAAUGAGCUAUUAGAUUGACUAUAGAUGAAUUGAAGCUAGUAGUUAGCGAUAGUAUUAAACUUGCUCUAAUGGAGUAGUACUUGUGACUUUUGUGAGUUGUGACCUGUGUCCAAUGUUCUUUCUUCCGCUAGACUUUGACUGCACGGGGGUUGAUUUGAUGAUGUGCCCCUAAUCAUAAACUUUAAGAAAAAGCAACGCCAGGCGGCAUGAAAAGGACCGUUUAUAUUUCUUAAACGAGCCAGUAAAACCUCUCCAGGAGUCCGAGAUGGCUCCGUGCGGCAACGGCAAAGAGAAAGGGCGCCACAAGCCAAUGGAAAAGGCUUCUGAUGAAUUUUCCAUGGUGCUUUCCACUUUCCACCCUGUAUUAUAUUAGAGCUGUGUUUAGUUCAGCGUAAAGUUUGGAUUUUGGUUAAAAUUAAAGAUGGUGUGACUAAAAAAUUGUGUGUAUGACAGGUUGAUGUGAUGAAAAAAGACUGAAGUUUGGAUCCAAACUUUGUAGCCUAGGCCAUUAACCAACCAAUAAUAGGCCGAUCGACGACGGUCGCGUGGGGCUGACGUACAAAGUCGAACUCUUCUUUGUUAGAUAAACUUUUUCCAUGGAAGUUUUGCUUUUAAGUGCACAUCUCCAGCUACAUGUGCAUCAGAGAACUGUACUGGUGUCCUAGUACUAGUCUUCUACAGACAGGGUUUGAACUUUCAAACCAGAAUUUAAUAAUAAUCCUAUGUACUUAAGAAACCAGCAAAUCCGCGAUCCUUUCAGCAAAGUCCUUUUCACACGUACCCCCAUCCUACAACACACCAGAACCGUUUUUGUUGUCCUGUAUGCUGACGUGACAUGGUUUAAUCUUUAGAGUAGGUCAGGUCAGACAAGCUAGUGAGCAAUCUGAUGCCGACGGCGAGCAGCUGGUGCACUGAACUUCAUGUUCAAGCCUUCGGCGCCAUCGCCAUGCGGAUAGCUCGAAAAAAGAUUGCCCAAUCCUGCAUGCAUGAUUGUUAAUUCUAUUCUUUUUUUAAACAUAAUUGUUAAUUAUAUUCACCACAGGAAAACAAUCCUGCCGUCUGUCCUGGCUCAGGCAGCCACAGAAAUAUCUCCCCAUGGAUUUUUUUUAGAUAAUGAAAUAUGAUAUCCCCGCAUGCCUCACCAUAUAUACACGGAUUACUGUUAACUUGUAAAAUUAAUUUUCAGAUUCCCAACGUAAUUUGUGAAUAUAAGUCUCAGCAAGGAUUGUCUAAAAAAAAUGACAUGAGAAAUGUUUCCCGAUGUUUUCACUACAAACAUAAUACCUGUACUUUGUAACAGGAUUAAAAAAGAGAAUCAUAUGGUAUUACAUAUUUACGUAGCAAAAAUUAAAUGGCUAUAUCAUUACGUAUUAGACAAUAUAUAAUAGCUUUGUACUUUGAUUUUUAAUAAAAAAAAAUUGUAUGUUUCUUUUACCUACUCUCUCCGUCCCAUUCUAAGUGCAAUCAUGAUUUUCCGCGUCUAACUUUGAUCGUUCAUCUUAUUUGAAUUUUUUUUAAAAAAAUUAAAAACAUAAGUCACGAACAAAGUACUAUUUAUGUUUUAUCAUCUCAUAACAAUAAAAAUAUUAAUUAUAUCUUUUUUAAAUAAGACGAACAAAUAAAGUUGGGCACGAAAACUCAUAGAUGCAUUUAAAAUGGGACAGAUGGAGUAACAAUCGUAAAAAAGAGAUUGGAAAAAAAACAAAUCAAACCCUAAAUUUCAAAAUUCGAUGCAGCUACCUACUUUUCUCUAGUUUUGAAACAAAAGUUGCUCCUGUACUCUCUUCUCGUUUUAAGAAGUACAAAUUCCACAUAUGCCAUUGAUAGAGGUGGUAGUGGUAGAUUCACUAUCAUAACCAUUGUUAUUAUUUUUAAAGUGGUUCAGAUUUAUUGUGCUAUGAGUGGUCAUAUUUCUUUCUAGUUUAAGUUUUUUUACUUUUUGAGACGGAGGGAGUAAUUAUAACCGCUACUCUUUCUCCUCUGAAAGGUUAAAAAAAAUAGAGAUGCCAUGUUCUUUUCUAGAUGCAUGGUGUGCCAAAAAAAAUGAUGACUUUGUAUAGAUAAUCAUGCCCUGGAAAAUGUGCCUUUGUUAAUCUGGAAACGGAAGAGUCAAGGGGCCAAGACCACAUCAAUGGUCGCUUCUCCCCGUUCCUUCCAUGUUGUUUCCAGAACCAGUACCGUAUUUGGACAUCAGAUAAGUUAAAAUAUGGUGUUAUUUUCCAUGGUUGUAUGAAUCGAAGAUGACACAAUCACUGUAGAUGUUCUAGUCUUCUAGAUGAGAAAGACUACGUUGCCAAUGAGUUAUUACAUGUUGACAGAGCCAAGAACUAAUACAGGAGAUCGCACGAUCAUCCCACGUGCAUAUGCAUCCGUCAGGAGUUCACGAGAGAACGAAACGUGCGUAGACACGACUCUCCAUCAGUCGAUGCGUAUUCCGUCCCGAUUUACGCAGGUGUCAAUUGCUGAUACGACAAAUACCAGCUUUGAAUCCGGCUCGUUCAUUUCAGACACUUUAGCACAAUUAAAGUACGGAUUAGAGAAAACAAAUCAAAAGAAAACGGUUGCACCAAACAAACCCAUAACUUGUGGGGGGAACGAAUAAGCCACGCAUAAACUGAAGCGUACUUUCGAGUUUCAAAAAGUUAACAAAUAAGUGGCAGCUUGGGUUAAAAAAAAUCGUGUCAAGUUCACUUUUUUUUAGUGUAUGUAUUAGCCAUUUGUAGUUGUAUUCGAUCGUCCUGACGUUAAUGGCACCGUGACAUGUACAGUGUGUAUCACCGUGCUUGUGAGGAUAAGAUUGUCGUGCCAGAAAAUAAUGCGGUGACAUGGACAUGGCAUCAAGUUGGGCGUCCUCGGUUCAUUGCAUCCAGACCGGAAGAAACCCAUCGCAGGUCCACCUGAAUCGAAAGAACUCUGAAUUUUUCAUUUCUUAGUUUUUUCUGGAGAUGCAAAUUAAGAAGUUUGAUGUUGCCAAGUCACCAUCCUUUUCGCAUGCAAAAGGUGAGGAUCCUGUGCAGCACACAUGCAGCCAUGCAGGCCAAGAUUUCAUUAUAUCGUGCUCUAGUGCAGACAAAGCGACAUCCACCAGACCACCACCAGGACUAGCGUUUCAUGUCAGUAGUACUACGCGAUAGCUUUGCAGGGGGGCACAACCACAUCUUUGUUCAAUUAACCACAUGAUUUAUAUGAGAGAUGUGCCGUGCGUGUGGAGCUAGCACUUCUAUUCAGGAACCAGUAGGUUGAGAGCUAGCAGCACAUAUUCAGAUUCUGCAUCUGCAGUAUUUGGGAGUUCGACCGGGCAGCGGGAGUUUUAACCUAUCGAGAUUUUCAUAGAAGAAUACGCACAUGAUUGUUCUGCGAGAUAUUCAUUGGUGCUUUUGCUGAUAUGGCAGUAUAUAGGUUGUCGGUGUGAACUGUUGUUAGAGCAAGGUUAAUAGAGAAAGCUUAUCGUCGGCACCAAAGAAGUCCAACUCUGCUUUAUAGCUAACCAUAUACAUGUAAUAUACAUGUAGUGCGUAUAGUAAUAUCCUCAUAUUAUCUCUAAAAGCUACUUUAUCUUUUACCGGACUCACAAUUCUAAUUUGAAAGGCUCAUACACAGAAAUUAUCUCUUGGCAGGCACGUGUUAACUAGCCGUUUGCUUUCUUCACCUAGGCGCUUGUGCAAUCGCUCGCUUACCUCUCUCUCAUCUCAUCUCCCUCAUCUAUGUAGGACUUAUCUGACGUGGCUUGGCUAUUAGCCAGCAGAGCUGGACUUAUUAUACCUGCUCUUAGUAGGAGCAGCACUCAGCGGGGUCGUACUGCAAACGAAUACUGGGCAAUACAUGCUGCAGAGCCAGUGUCGUGUUCACGCCUCACAAAAGUCACACCUGCAAACCAUAUUCAGCAUAUGCUUCAGGAUGGGAAUGGUUAGGAUAUGGAUUGAACCUGAACCGUUUUAAGUGAAUUCGUUGAUCCAUGGUUUGAUAGGAUCGAUCCACCAUGAGUCCAUUAUAUCAAUAGGUUAUCUAUGGAUAUCCAAAUGGAUCGGCUACUCUUAUUACAUGUGGGUAAAACUCGGACCCAAAAUUUUUAAACUCGCGUUCACACUAUAAAAACUUAUCGAAUUCAGUUGAAUUUUGGUGGGAUAAUUUAUUACACAGAGAAGCAACUUUGUAUAAAUUUUGAGCCCUUUAUACAAGUGGGGCCCACGAUGCAUUACUAGGACCAAAAAAUUCUAGUUAUAUGUGUGUAAAACUCAGACCCAAAAUUUUUAAACUCGCGUUCACACUAUAAAAACUUAUCGAAUUCAGUCGAAUUUUGGUGGGAUAAUUUAUUGCAUAGAGAAGCAACUUUGUGUAAAUUGAGCCCUUUAUACAUGUGAGGCCCACGAUGCGUUGCUAAGACUCAAAAAUUCUUGUUACAUGUAAAACUCGGACCUAAAAUUUUUAAACUCACGUUCACACUAUGAAAACUUGUUAAAUUUAGUUGAAUUUUGUAGGAAUGAAUUAUUAUAUAGCGAAGCAACUUUGUACAAAUUUUUGAAAUAUUUAUACAUGUGAAGUCAUUUUGGGUCGAACCCCCUAAACCUUAGGUUCUAAUGGUUUGAUCCGUUUGACUCAUUUAUAUUUUUGGAGCGACCCUAUAAAUUAGUUAGAACAAAUUUACGGAUAGGUUUAGUGGAUAAAUGGAUCGACCCUGACCAUUCCCAUCCUGACAUAUGCUGAUAUACCAUGAACAAUCGGUUUCUGCAUGCGUUGCACAACCAAAAACACGAAGAGAAAAGAUGUACUUUUCGGAAAAGCAAAUUAGCCGGCUGUCACACUUUGUCUAGAUGCCAUGAACCAUCGAUCGGCAGCAGGGGGUCAGUCCACUCCAACCACAUCGUUCCAGGCUUCCAGCGUUGCUUUUAUGCCAAGUGGCCGGGAGGAGCCCUGCCAGGGUAGCCUGCUGACGUGGCAGUGUGGCGCAAAAGGAAAUUCUAUUUCCUUGUUUCCUUUUUCUGCGAGGAUCGAUUUCCAUGGCUCUCUUGCCAGCGUUGUUCGAGAAGCGAUAACGACCACUGAAACGAUAAUGAUUUGUGCCGAAUGUAUAUGCAGACAGAUGACAUGAACGGGUGCAGCUCCCUCUCAGAACGGCGACCGCGAUGUCGCCUUUGUCGUCGUGUCCUCGACCGCUUUGGUUCCAACUUGGCGACAUGGCAACACGAUUAUUGUGGCAAAUUUCAGGGAAGCAUCAAUGCAGCCGUGCAGGGCUUUCGCUUCCCGCGGACGAACGGAGAAGCCGGAACUGCUUGCUGCAACAUUGGGCUGAAAAGAGUAAGCCCGACGGUCCACGAAAAGAAAACUAGUUAUGGGCCAAAGUGGCGAAGACUGCGCAUCGGUGGCGGGCCAGCCGCAGCCCACACACCAGCUACAGACGGGCUGCGGCGAGCCGUUGUAUGGCGGGCCCGUGCAACAUGAGUGUUCGCGAGACGAGGCCCGUGAGGACCGCGAGGCGGGCGAGACGAAGCCUCACCACCGCCUACGGGCUUGGGAGGCGGAAGCUGACGCGGUUUCGGGAUCACUUACAUUUGUCGAUAAAUUUUCUCUUAAAAAUUUGACAGAUGUAAUUAUAAUACAAUCAUAAUGUAAUUACACUAUAACUUAUAUGUAAUUACACUGUAACUUGCAUGUAACUACAGUGUAACAUGUAUAUAAGUUUCACGUAAUUUUGAAUCGUUAAAUCUAUUACAAGAUUUGUUUUGGUGAGGAAGAAAAAAAUCACACCACACACAUAUGUGUAAGGAUUUGUUCCCACAACCUCCAUUUUACCGAAAUAACAUAUUACAAAGAGACUUUUGAAAGUUACAUACAAGUUACAUGCAAGUUACAGUGUAAUUACACUACGAUUGUAUUGUAAUUAUAUCUGUCAAAUUUUUGGGAGAAAAUUUAUCGACAAAUAAAUAGCAAAAUCGUUUCCGGUAUAUUAUAUCACCGGUCUCUGCCAACAAACAUAUGACCAAUAAGCCAAGAAAACAUAAAAAUACUUGAGGUUAUGAGACAAAUCCUCAUCUCCCUCCUAAUUAUAUCUAGCUGAAAUAAAAAAGAAAACACGUAGAAUCUAUUACGAUAAUCUAUAGGAACUACGACAUCUAAAAUGGAACAACAAAUCCUUGACCACGAUUUCAAGUGUAGCUCCACUGCAUAUAUUAUUCUACUCCUCCUGUCAAAGCAGGAUUAAGGAUGGAGCCAAUUGAAAAACGUGAGGAUAAUUUGCAACGUUUUUUUAGCGAACGCGCAAAAGAAUUGCACGCCAGUAACCUACAACGGGUUGAAUAAUUUCUUGUUAUUGAAAACUUAUAUCACUGUGACAACACCAAAUUAACCAAUAUAAUGCAUUAGUUUCAAACAAAAUUAGUUUUUAGAUGGAUAUAAGCACUCCUCUUGACCAAUUAUCAAAAAUAUUUUUAGCAUUUCGCCAGAGGGUGUUGAAAGGAAAAAAGAAAACAGCGCUAAGCACACUUUGUGACAUGGCAAUAAAGAAAAGAUUAUUGUAGUGUCUCGUUUUUAUCCAAAAACAAAAUGCAUUCAACCAAGACUUGUAACUUCGGUUUGAAGUUUCAAUAUGGCGUGACCACGAAAACCAUUGUUACACAACGGAACUAGUACUAGGUAGUAAGGUGUAGUGAAGCAUGUGGCCUUAAGGCUUAUCACGAGGGACUAUUCCGUAGGUCCGUAAUGAGAAACAGCACGCGGCUUGCGGUAUCUGAAAUUCUAAGCUUCUGCCGCGCGCUGCUAGACCUGGCACGCCUUGCUGACGCGCGGCGAGAUUUUGGAAGCAACUAACCAGAGGUGUUUCAACUCAAAACAGCCUGCAAUCACUGCAAGUGACGGCGGAUAUCUUCAAGGUUUUUGAGACCUUUUCUUGGUCCAUCUGAACAUCGUCAUGUGACUAUGUGAGUUUGCAGGUCCAAACCGAAAGAUCAACAUGUGAUGAUCAGCUGCUCGAUAGAUUGAAGCCUCCUAGCAAGUCAUGUUAAAACUCUCCUGUUCCCUUGUUUGUACUUUUUUCACAAUACUGCGUGCAUAGCUCGAGGUUUUUCCUCCGACCAUCAAUUUCCUGUGGGCGACCUGCUUAUUCCAGAUUUCCAGUACGAACGAAUUACCGUGCCCUGCGAGGAAUUUCUGUGUUGAUAAGUCUAGUAAAUUCAGCAGCCGGAAGCACUAUGGGGUUUGGUAGAUGAAUUCCGCAAAGUAGUACUUCGACUGCAAUUUUGUAUACUAGCAAAAAUAAUAAAACAGAUCGAAAAAUAGACAUACUAAUGUUGAAAGCUACAUAACAUUGACCACAGGAAACUCGUAUAUAACAUACGGUAAACAAGAAUCCAGCUGGAGUCCGUCUUGAUAUUCAGACGUAUUACUCUCGUUUCUGUCUCCAAACACCUGAAUCCGUCAAGCGGAAAAACUUUGCUGCAGUCCAACCGGCUUGAUCAAGCAAGCUGGCAAUUAAUCGAUGAUUAAUUGAGCGUCGCUUUCCCUCUUGGGAUAGAUGUGGUGGAGACGUCCCUCUCCUUCUCUGGUGAGGUCGCCGAGUGAAAACAUUGUGUAGGUCUCCUUCCGAUCCGAAAAGAUGCGCGAAGCUCUCUGUUGACAGUUUUUUUUUUUAGACUGGUGCUCUCGUUUGACAGUGGAUCAGCAUGUUUGUGGGAGAAAGAUAUUUCUUCUCCCUCGCCCUCUCCCUCUAUAACCUUCUAUGUCGGUGACGUCCAAGAGGCUAGUUGCUUUGCUUGGUUGUUUGGAGUUGGCAUUGAGUGGUACAGCUAUAGCUCUUUGUGCGGUCCAGCGACGGCUGGGUAUGCUUAGCGGUGGUUGGUUCGGUGUUAUCUUUUCCUUAGUUGUGUGUAGGCAAGUUCGGUGUUUAGAGGUGGUCUGUUUGUUUUCUUUUUCGUUGACUAUAAUCUCUCAGGGUUAUUGUUUUAUACUUUUUUCCUUGUUAUAUUCAAUGAAACUCUACCCUGUCUAAGUGCUAGUUUGUUCGAAAAAAACAAUUAAACGAUGAUGUGACUUACUGUGUUUUUUUCCUAGAGAAAUCCUAAUAACUCCUAAGGCUUGCGGGAAAGAUAUACGAGAGAAAAAGUUCAAACCAAACUUGCUAAAAUAAAAAUAUAGGUUUAGAAUAUGAAAAAAAGUUGUAUUCAGUCAUGUUACACAGUGUAAUCAAACAUAUACCAAAAUUUUGAGUCAUAAUCACAUGAUAAUAGGGAGUAAGAUGUUAGUUAAUGUUUGGUUUACGAGGUAACAGGUACUUUUAUUACGUAAUAUUUUUUUAACACUCUAAUUGUUUCUAUCGGUUUAGUGUUCAUAGACUAUAUAGAUAUAAAUAAAGCUGUCUCCAAAUCCAAUUCCAAGACAAAAAAAAUUAUAGGAUAGGAUAUGAAAUAAAUAGGCAAAAUUGGUUAUAUAGCAUCGAAAGUUCACGUUUUUGGUUUUAUAGCACCGAAAGUUACCGGUUCACUUUAAUAGCACCCAAAGUUCACCAUGUUUCCAUUUUUAACACUUCCGUCAAUUCUCGAUCGUUUUCCGUCCGUCUUGAUUGUUAUUGAUCCAGCCACACACACGAUAUGACGUUUCUACCCCUCACAAGUACAAGUAUAAUGCAUGUCAAUGAGGGGUAAAAAUGUCAUAUCGUGUGUGUGGCUGGAUCAAUAACGAUCAAGACGGACGGAAAAAUUGACGGAAGUGCUAAAAAUGGGAACAGGUGAACUUUGGGUGCUAUUAAAGUGAACCGGUAACUUUCGGUGCUAUAAAACCAAAAACGUGAACUUUUGAUGCUAUAUAACCAAUUUUGCCAAAUAAAUAUGUAAUAUGUUUAUGCAGCUCUAUCCGUGCACUAUUCUGACUCCGAAGAAAAUAUGAAAUAAGAUACAUCUAUGAUCCAAUGUACUUACCCGACCCGAUUUCGCCCAUAAAUACACAAUGCUUUAUGUUCAACCCCUAUUCCAAUGGGUCAUUGCAUUUGAGACAAGCUUUUUUGGAACAUAUAUUUUUUGCAGUACUUUUGUACUCCCUUCUUUUUAGGUUAUAAGACGUUUUGACUUUGGUCAAAGUCAAAUACUUUUAAGUUUGACUAAUUUUAUAAAAAAUUGUAGUAAUAUUUUUAACCCAAGACAAAUAUGUUAUGAAAAUUUAUUCAAUUAUAUAUUUAAUGAAACUAUGCUAGUGUUGUAAAUAUUACUACUUUUUUUUAUAUAAAAUUAGUCAAACUUAGAGUAGUUUGAAUUUAACUAAAGUCAAAACAUUUUAUCACCUGAAACGGAGGGAGUAAAAGUUAGAUUCAAUCCUGCAAAAAAACCUGUAAAAACUUUUCAUUCCAAGGAGGCAUUAAUCUGUCAAGUUCUAGUGAUUUUUCAUCGUAUGCUCGUGGUUUGUCGCCGCAGGAAUCGAACCACUGUGAUCCAUCGGCCCACUUCGCUUGCGCGAACAUACAAGGAAUCCCUGUAAACGGAAUGAACAAAUCAAACAUAUACCACUUAUUAUAAAGGUCUCUUUGGUCCUCCUGAUGAUUCUGAUCUCCAGUUUAAUGAAAAUAAUUUUGUGGACAUCCCACAAGUGUCUCAAUUAGAGAAUGAAGCUUUAAUACAAGAAUUCACUGAAAAGGAAAUUAAAGAGGCUAUUUUCUAAAUGGAACAUAAUAAAGCUCCGGGUCCUGAUGGAUUUCCUGCUGAGUUUUAUCAGGUCUUUUUGGAUGUCAUUAAGGAUGAUAUGUUGGAUCUUUUCAGAGAUUUUCAUAAUGGUACUUUGCCUUUAUUCUCCCUUAACUUUGGUACUAUUAUUCUUUUGCCUAAGUGUGCUGAGGCCAUAAAAAUUCAACAAUAUAGGCCUAUCUGCUUACUUAAUGUUAGUUUUAAGAUCUUUACCAAAAUUGCUACGAAUAGAAUAAUGAGUGUUUCUCAAAAGGUGAUUAGCCCUACUCAAACUGCUUUUAUACCUGGGAAAAAUAUUAUGGAAGGUGUUGUUAUUUUGCAUGAAACUAUGUAUGAAUUACAUCGCAAAAAUAAAAGUGAUGUGAUUUUUAAGAUCGAUUUUGAAAAAGCCUAUGACAAGGUUAAAUGGUCUUUUGUACAACAGACGCUCGGAAUGAAAGGUUUCUCUCCUAAAUGGUGUGAGUGGAUAACUUCUUUUAUUCAAGGGGGACAUGUUGGUAUUAGAGUAAAUGAUCAGACCGGUAAUAAUUUUCAAACUUACAAAGGUCUAAGGCAAGAAGAUCAUUUAUCUCUAAUUCUUUUUAAUAUAGUAGCAGAUAUGCUUACUUUAUUAAUUAAGAGGGCUAAAGAUGCUAGUUCAUUGAAUGGGGUAGUCCCUCACCUAGUGGAUGAUGGUUUAUCUAUUUUACAGUAUGCAGAUGGUACCAUCAUUUUUGUGGAACAUGACUUACAACAAGCGAAGAAUCUUAAAUUGAUUUUAUCUGUGUUUGAAAAGUUGUCUGGCUUGAAAAUAAAUUUUCAUAAGAGUGAAUUAUUUUGUUUUGGUCAGACAAAGGAAUAUUAUGAUGAGUAUUCUAACAUCUUUGGUUGUAAGUUUGGCUCUCUCCCUAUUAAAUAUCUUGGUUUACCAAUGCAUGUUAGAAAACUGAAUAAUAGAGAUUGGAAAAUGAUUGAGAAAAGAAUUGAGAAAAACUUAGUAGUUGGAAAGGAAAACAUUUAUCUAUUGGGGGUAGACUGGUUUUAAUUAACUAUGUACUUUCAAGUUUAGCUAUAUUUAUAAUAUCUUUUUUUGAGAUACCGAAAGGGGUUCUUCAAAAAAUUGAUUAUUAUAGAUCACGGUUCUUUUUGCAAGGGGAUGACCAUAAAAAAAGUAUAGACUUACUAGAUGGGAUAUCAUUUGUCAACCUAAGAAUCAGGGAGGUUUAGGGGUUCAUAACUUGGAAAAAUACAAAACAAGUGUCUCUUGAGUAAGUGGUUGUUUAAGUUGAUUAACGAGGAAGGUGUAUGGCAAAAUCUAUUGAAGAGAAAGUAUCUAUACAAUCAGUCUAUAACCCAAGUUAAUAAGAAACAUGGCGAUUCUUAUUUUUGGUCAGGUCUCAUGAAGGUCAAAGAUACCUUCUUAGAUAUGGGUUCUUGGAUUGUAAAUAAUGGGAAACAAAUAAGGUUCUGGGAAGAUAAAUGGCUAGGAAACCUGGCUUUUAAAGACAAAUAUCCAUCUUUACACUCUAUUGUCUGAAGGAAAAGUUCUACUAUUGCUAAUGUUAUGAGAUCUGUUCCACUCAAUGUUUCCUUUAGUAGAUCAUUAGUUGGUCAGAAUCUUGCAUAUUGGCAUGAAUUGUGUGCUUCUAUUGUACAUAUUCAAUUGAAUCAAUCCUCUGAUAGCUUUAGAUGGAAUUAUCAUCAGAAUGGAAUAUUUUCUGUUAGGUCGAUGUAUCUAGCUUUAAUUAAUAAUAGUUAUAUUGAGAGAAACAAGAUUAUUUGAAAGCUUAAGAUGCCACUUAAGAUUAAGAUUUUUAUGUGGUACUUGCUUAAAGGGGUUGUGCUAACCAAGAAUAAUUUGGCAAGACGAAAUUGGAAUGGCAAUUUAAGAUGUUGUUUUUUUAUGAAAAAUGAGACUAUUCAACAUCUUUUUAUAGAGUGUCAUUAUGCAAAAUUUGUUUGGCGAGCAGUACAGUUCUCUCUUGGUUUAUACCUUCCUACUACCAUAUCUAAUAUGUUUAAUAGUUGGCUCUUGGGGGUAGACAAGAAGAAGAUCUACCAUAUAUUGGACUCUGUGGUUAAUUAGAAAUGAUAUGGUUUUUGACAAAUCACCAUCUAUCUCAUAUAUACAGGUAAUUCUCAGGGCAAUAUAUUGGCUCCGAUUUUGGGCACAGCUGCAAAUGUGUGAAGAUGAUCGAGAGCUUAUGAAAGUUGCAUGUCGUAGGCUUGAGACAACGGUCAUGCAACUCCUUGCAAACUAUGGAUGGAGAUUCAAAAAUAGACUUGAAUAAAUGUGCUCUCCUUAUCUUAGUUUGAUCUUUUAUUUUGUUGGGUGUGUUUAAUUCAUUUGAACUACACUCAGUGUUCGGGUGUUACUUUUAUAAUAAUUGGCUGUACCUCUGAUGAGUAAAGACCGGGAUGUUUUAUUCCAUUAUCUAAAAAAACAUAUACCACUGCAUGUGCAUAAGUACGUUUAGACGUUUAGUUUCUUUGACUACAAAAUAUAUACUGUAUCGGAUUCCUUUGGCUCUGCGUUUGAAGAGGCCAAUCGGUCUCGAGUCAGAUCUGUUCGUUACAAUGAGACCGAGUGGUCGCUUUCGCCCGUAUCCUAUCGAUGGCGCUUAGCUAGGUCGUUUGAUCCUCUACUAGCAAGUUUAAUUAACUGAUAUGGGUUUGACUCGUAAUUUCGUGGACAACUUUCUGCACACUCAAGAGAGUACUUAUCCUACUAAGGAACUCGCAAUAUAAUGUAUUAAUGUGCGAUUCGAAUAUCUCUGGACUUUGAAGAAGACCAGAACUAGCAGGAUGUGACUGUCGGAUGCAUGGUUUUAUAUGUAUACGUUCAAAGCUAUGCUGCUAUUUUAUAUACCUGCAACUGUAAGUUCCAUGUGGCUUUCGCUAGAUAGCCAUUGAUUGAGCGAUGACGCUGAAAUGGUGAAUUAUUUUAGACUCGUCGCGCGCUCGUUAUUAGCCAUGAACAGAUCGAUGGCGCAGAUGUAGUACUACUUUAAUGAGAAUGCGAUCAUAUUUAUUAGAGACAAUACCAUUGCUUAUUUGAUCUCGUUUGAAAGCCUAACUACUAAACUGAGCCUAUUUUUUUUAGUUUGCUUAUUUGACCAUGUUUUUCAAAAAUGAACACCCCGUCCGACCCUGUUUCCACUAUACCGUUAAAGUUUCAUUUUUCUAAAAAACAAAAUAUAAUUAUUAUUAGUAAUGACCAACCUACCCUCAAGAAACCCUAUCCACAUCUAACCCAUCCAUUCCCUCCCGUCUCUCUCGUAUAUCGAUUGCAGCGGCAGUGCACGGAGGGGGCGAGCAGCC